GACGGCAUACAGGCAAUAAUUCAGUCUAACAGUCUAAUCUCCUGUACGUGUUCUUGGGACGAAACUGCAAAAGGACAGGGAAAAUAUAUCCGGGUAAGAUCUGCUUGAUUCAUCAAUAGUGAAGGUGAUGUGCCACUGUUGGCGCUAUCGGUGGUGCAGUGACGGGAUAUAGUUUUGGUUUCGGAAGCAAGUUAAUCAAAGCCAAGUUUAUCGCUGAAGUUAUGC
rnacentral:lncRNA from 1 species